UGCCUACGGGUGGCAGCAGUAGGGAAUAUUGCUCAAUGGGGGAAACCCUGAAGCAGCAACGCCGCGUGGAGGAUGAAGGUUUUCGGAUUGUAAACUCCUUUUGUUAGAGAAUAUAAUUACGGUAUCUAACGAAUAAGCACCGGCUAACUCCGUGCCAGCAGCCGCGGUAAUACGGAGGGUGCAAGCGUUACUCGGAAUCACUGGGCGUAAAGAGCGCGUAGGCGGGAUAGCAAGUCAUAUUUUAAAUCCUAUUUCUUAACCAUAGAACUGCAUUUGAAACUGUUAUUCUAGAGUAUGGGAGAGGU
rnacentral:rRNA from 1 species